rnacentral:rRNA from 1 species
GACGAACGCUGGCGGCGUGCCUAAUACAUGCAAGUCGACCUUAGUGGCGAACGGUUUAUUAACACGUGGGUAACCUGCCCGUCAGAAGAGGGUAACACUUGGAAACAGGCGCUAAUCCCGGAUACUGGAGGAUGGACCCGCGGUGAAUUAGCUAGUUGGUGGGGUAACGGCUCACCAAGGCAACGAUGCCGAGCCGAUCUGAGAGGGUGAUCGGCCAAAUGGGAACUGAGAAACGGCCCAAACUCCUACGGGAGGCAGCAGUGGGGAAUCUUCGGCAAUGGACGAAAGUCUGACGGAGCAAGGCCGGGUGAGUGAAGAAGGCUUUCGGAUCGUAAAACUCUUUUGUUGGGGAAGCGGUACCGAAAGAGAAAGCCACGGCUAACUACGUGCCAGCAGCCGCGGUAAUUC